UGGAUUGUAAACUUCUUUUGUAUAGGGAUAAACCUUUCCACGUGUGGAAAGCUGAAGGUACUAUACGAAUAAGCACCGGCUAACUUCCGUGCCAGCAGCCGCGGUAAUACGGAAGAGUUGCAAGCGUUAUCCGGAAUUUAUUGGUUUUAAAGGGUCCGUAGGCGGAUGUGUAAGUCAGUGGUGAAAUCUUUCGGCUUAACCGGGAAAACUGCCAUUGAUACUGCAUGUCUUGAGUAAGGUAGAAGUGGCUGGAAUAAGUAGUGUAGCGGUGAAAUGCAUAGAUAUUACUUAGAACACCAAUUGCGAAGGCAGGUCACUAUGUCUUAACUGACGCUGAUGGACGAAAGCGUGGGGAGCGAACAGGAUUAGAUACCAUGGUAGUCCACGCCGUAAACGAUGCUAACUCGUUUUUGGGCUUUCGGGUUCAGAGACUAAGCGAAAGUGAUAAGUUAGCCACCUGGGGAGUACGUUCGCAAGAAUGAAACUCAAAGGAAUUGACGGGGGCCCGCACAAGCGGUGGAUUAUGUGGUUUAAUUCGAUGAUACGCGAGGAACCUUACCAAGGCUUAAAUGGGAAUUGAUCGGUUUAGAAAUAGACCUUCCUUCGGGCAAUUUUCAAGGUGCUGCAUGGUUGUCGUCAGCUCGUGCCGUGAGGUGUUAGGUUAAGUCCUGCAACGAGCGCAACCCCUGUUACUAGUUGCUACCAUUAAGUUGAGGACUCUAGUAAGACUGCCUACGCAAGUAGAGAGGAAGGUGGGGAUGACGUCAAAUCAUCACGGCCCUUACGCCUUGGGCCACACACGUAAUACAAUGGCCGGUACAGAGGGCAGCUACACAGCGAUGUGAUGCAAAUCUCGAAAGCCGGUCUCAGUUCGGAUUGGAGUCUGCAACUCGACUCUAUGAAGCUGGAAUCGAUAGUAAUCGCGCAUCAGCCAUGGCGCGGUGAAUACGUUCCCGGGCCUUGUACACACCGCCCGUCAAGCCAUGGAAGUCUGGGGUACCUGAAGUCGGUGACCGUAACAGGAGCUG
rnacentral:rRNA from 1 species